GCGCCCGUAGCUCAGGGGAUUAGAGCGCGUAGCUACGGACUACGAGGUCGGGGGUUCGAAUCCCUCCGGGCGUA
rnacentral:tRNA from 1 species